rnacentral:rRNA from 1 species
AUGGAAGGGGGCAGCCUCUGGCACGAGUACGAGACGGACCUCCGGGCCGCCGACGUGUGGGAGGUCUAUGGCAGCCUCGCUCUCGGGCAACUAGCCCCCCAGCUGCUCCCGCACGUCCUCUCAAAGGUCGAGCUUGUAGAGGGAGACGGCGGCGUCGGCACAGUCCUGCUCGUCACUUUCCCUCCUGCAGGAGCUUCCGAACCAAGAAGCCACAAGGAGAAGUUCAACGUAGUCGACCAUGAGAAGUACAUCAAGGAGGCAGAGACGGUGGAGGGAGGCUUUCUGGAUCUCGGCUUCCGGAAAUAUUUGGUGCGAUUCAAGGUCGUAGGAAAAGAAGAUGGCGCAUCCGUUAUAAGAUCCACGGUUGAGUAUGAAGUUGAUGCAGAGCAUGCCAAGAAUGUCUCCUUUGUCAGCACAGAAGCAAUGGCUUCUAUUGCUGAGGCCAUCACCAAGUACAUCAAGGAGCAGAAGAAGAGCCACGAGCAAGCCGCCGAGUAA